rnacentral:rRNA from 1 species
GACGAACGCUGGCGGCGUGCUUAACACAUGCAAGUCGAACGGAAAGGCCCUGCUUUUGUGGGGUGCUCGAGUGGCGAACGGGUGAGUAACACGUGAGUAACCUGCCCUUGACUUUGGGAUAACUUCAGGAAACUGGGGCUAAUACCGGAUAGGAGCUCCUGCUGCAUGGUGGGGGUUGGAAAGUUUCGGCGGUCGGGGAUGGACUCGCGGCUUAUCAGCUUGUUGGUGGGGUAGUGGCUUACCAAGGCUUUGACGGGUAGCCGGCCUGAGAGGGUGACCGGCCACAUUGGGACUGAGAUACGGCCCAGACUGCUACGGGAGGCAGCAGUGGGGAAUAUGGCACAAUGGGCGGAAGCCUGAUGCAGAAACGCCGCGUGCGGGAUGACGGCCUUCGGGUUGUAAACCGCUUUCGCCUGUGACGAAGCGUGAGUGACGGUAAUGGGUAAAGAAGCACCGGCUAACUACGUG